rnacentral:rRNA from 1 species
CAAUAGCGUAUAUUAAAGUUGUUGCGGUUAAAAAGCUCGUAGUUGGAUUUCUGCCGAGGACGACCGGUCCGCCCUCUGGGUGAGCAUCUGGAUCGGCCUGGGCAUCUUCUUGGGGAACGUGUCUGCACUUGACUGUGUGGUGCGGUAUCCAGGACUUUUACUUUGAGGAAAUUAGAGUGUUUCAAGCAGGCACACGCCUUGAAUACAUUAGCAUGGAAUAAUAAGAUAGGACCUUGGUUCUAUUUUGUUGGUUUCUAGAGCUGAGGUAAUGAUAAACAGGGAUAGUUGGGGGCAUUCGUAUUUAACUGUCAGAGGUGAAAUUCUUGGAUUUGUUAAAGACGAACGACUGCGAAAGCAUUUGCCAAGGAUGUUUUCAUUGAUCAAGAACGAAAGUUAGGGGAUCGAAGACGAUCAGAUACCGU